rnacentral:rRNA from 1 species
AUUGAACGCUGGCGGCAGGCCUAACACAUGCAAGUCGAACGAGUGGCGGACGGGUGCGUAAUGUCUGGGAAACUGCCUGAUGGAGGGGGAUAACUACUGGAAACGGUAGCUAAUACCGCAUACCCUCAGAUGUGCCCAGAUGGGAUGAGCUUUGUGGUGGGGUAACGGCUCACCAAGGCGACAAUCCCUAGCUGGUCUGGGAGGAGGACCAGACAAACGGGACCUGAGACACGGUCCAGACUCCUACGGGAGGAUGCAGUGGGGAAGAUUGGAAAAUGGGCGCAAGCCUGAGGCACCCAUGCCGCGUGGAGGAAGAAGGCCUUCGGGUUGUAAAGUACUUUCAGCGGGGAGGCGUUACCCGCAGAAGAAGCACCGGCUAACUCCGUGCCAGCAGCCGCGGUAAUUC